rnacentral:rRNA from 1 species
UACGGAGGGGGCAAGCGUUAUUCGGAAUUAUUGGGCGUAAAGGGCUCGUAGGCGGUCUGUCGCGUCGGGAGUGAAAACUCAGGGCUUAACCCUGAGCCUGCUUCCGAUACGGGCAGACUAGAGGUAUGCAGGGGAGAACGGAAUUCCUGGUGUAGCGGUGGAAUGCGCAGAUAUCAGGAGGAACACCGGUGGCGAAGGCGGUUCUCUGGGCAUUACCUGACGCUGAGGAGCGAAAGUGUGGGGAGCGAACAGG